AUGCCUCUAUCUGAUAGGCGGUUGAAGCUCAUUGACUUCCAAGACCUGCUUCACAAGUUAAUUAAGAAGAUUGCGGGUUGGAAGGCUAGGUGGAUCUCCUCCACUGGAAGAAUGGUACUCGUGAGGUUUGUACUUUCGGCAAUGCCAAUUUUCAUGCUUCUGGCUGUUCAUCAACCGAAAUGGGUCAUCAAGCAAAUCGAUAAGCUACGUCGUGCUUUUUUAUGGUCUGGCUCUGAUGCUGUCUGCGGUGGCAAGUGCCUUGUCCGCUGGACCCAGGUGUGCUCACCCAUC
rnacentral:rRNA from 1 species